ACACCGGCAGCUCAAGUGGUAGCCGCUUUUAUUGGGCCUAAAGCGUCCGUAGCCGGUCUGAUAAGUCUCUGGUGAAAUCCCACAGCUUAACUGUGGGAAUUGCUGGAGAUACUAUCAUGACUCGAGGUCGGGAGAGGCUGGAGGUACUCCCAGGGUAGGGGUGAAAUCCUGUAAUCCUGGGAGGACCACCUGUGGCGAAGGCGUCCAGCUGGAACGAACCUGACGGUGAGGGACGAAAGCCAGGGGCGCGAACCGGAUUAGAUACCCGGGUAGUCCUGGCCGUAAACGAUGUGGACUUGGUGUUGGGAUGGCUUCGAGCUGCCCCAGUGCCGAAGGGAAGCUGUUAAGUCCACCGCCUGGGAAGUACGGUCGCAAGACUGAAACUCAAAGGAAUUGGCGGGG
rnacentral:rRNA from 1 species